ACGCUGGCGGCAGGCCUAACACAUGCAAGUCGAGCGGGGGAGCAAUCCCUAGCGGCGGACGGGUUAGUAACGCGUGGGAACAUACCCUUUGGUACGGAAUAGCCUCGGGAAACUGAGAGUAAUACCGUAUGUGCCCUUCGGGGGAAAGAUUUAUCGCCAAAGGAUUGGCCGCGUGGGAUUAGGUAGUUGGUGGGGUAAUGGCCUACCAAGCCUACGAUCCAUAGCUGGUUUGAGAGGAUGAUCAGCAACACUGGGACUGAGACACGGCCCAGACUCCUACGGGAGGCAGCAGUGGGGAAUCUUAGACAAUGGGCGCAAGCCUGAUCUAGCCAUGCCGCGUGAGCGAUGAAGGCCUUAGGGUUGUAAAGCUCUUUCAGAUGAGAAGAUAAUGACGGUACCAUCAGAAGAAGCCCCGGCUAACUCCGUG
rnacentral:rRNA from 1 species